GAUCAUCCUCCUGGCCUGUGCUACUUUGACUUCACUUGCUUAGGGUGUGAGCCCAUGAGUUUAUUGCUCCUUACCAGCUCCUGACACUUCCGAAAAACCCUCCAUAGGACAACUCAAAAAAGGGAGUGAGGUCCUGGGCAACGGCAGAGGGGGAAAUGACAACAUCCAGGCGUGUAAAUUCCUAAUCAGAUCUCGCACCUUGGGUUUUGCCAGGAGAACAGUUGGGUUCCUGGCAGGCAGGACAUUGACCUGAAAACAAGGACAGGACAUGCUCCGCCAGACCCCAGGGCAGCUGGGUGGCCCUGCACUGGCACUGCCAAGUACCAGCCUCCCUGCACAGAAGGCAGGGCGGGAUUUAGGGCAGAGCAAGAGAGGAAUUGGAGGAAGGCACAGAUAAGACCCAGCAGUAGAAAAGGGAAAGCAAGAGAAAGGUGAAGAUAAAGAAAGAAGAAUUUGGGAGUGAGCUUUGACCCAGGGGUGAAGAGAAAAUUGGAGAUGUUAUCAUAGUUUAAGACGUGCUAAACUUGGUGUUGACAUAUCCUCAUCAGUGGGGACACGCAGUGGGGCCCUGCAAGACACACAGGUCCCGGGUGAGUCUCCAUUAAAGAAAAACUCUAAAACAGAAAGCAGAAUGAACACAGAUGGCAGAACAAGAAGCCCAUCCCCACCGGCAGCAAAGAGCAGAAGGUCCCCGUCCGGCAUCUGAGCUCACGUAAAGCUGGUCUCUCCUGGAGUGUUCAAAACCUCAUCAGAAACCCCAAGCAGCAUCCACACCCUGGAUUUGCUGUCUAGAGAGGACACCAGAGAGAUGCCAACCACCACAAGAGCCAACCUGCCAUCGGAGUUAGGAAGCUUCAGAAGAUAGGAAAAAUGACAAAUCUUUUUCAAGAAAAUAUGGGGCUGUUGCAGGGUGUGGGCUCCUGAGUCCCUUUGAAUCUCUGUAUGAAGAGGCAAAACGAACAAGCGGAGCCAGGAGUGCCCAGAGGUGAGCCCCAAGCCUGUCACACUGGUUGCCAAGGGUCACGCUCCUCUCCUUGCAUUCUGUGCCAGCUCUUGCGUGCUCUGUCCAAGCCUGACCACAUCCUGCCUCAUCCCACAGGGCAAGGACACUGCCUGCAAUGCCAUCCUGCCUGGACCAUGUGCCCUUACUGCCGCUCUGUGACAGGCCAUAUCAUUUAUUAUUAUUAUUUUUUCAAAAUUAAAAUCCUCCUGAGCUUUAUUAAAUAGGGAUGCUGAUAGGUAAUUAAAUCGCAACUUAAUUAAAUCUGCCUGCUCAAUCCAACCACGGCGUGCUGGCUACUCUGCAAUCCCUGUGAGAGGUGCUGUCGGUGGAGAACGGCAACGCG